rnacentral:lncRNA from 1 species
CAUAACAGAGCUUGGUGCUUUUGGUGGCAUGGAAAUGGCAAAUUUCAAAGAGAAAAAUAAGAUCUCCAUAUAUAUUUGGUCCUUCUAGGUUGUAGCAUCAGGGUGGGCCAUGAGUAUGUCAAACCCUGGUUCAUCUGGUCUUCAGGUUUAGGCAGGCUUCAUCAAAGUAGGCAGUAGGCUAGAUUCAGGCUUCAUAAGUUUCAGCUGUUUUAGUGGGAUCGGAAAGGCAUCAAAGGGAAAACAAGAGCAUCAGAUCCGUAAAUAGGGAAAUUGGAUAGGCUAUGUUAUCAAACUGUAUACACUAGUAUGUAUUGGACAACAUCAAAUAAGUGCCAAUUAUAACAAUAGACAUAAGAAUACCAAAAUGAAAACUACAAUCUAUCUGCACGUACCAAUCACGGAAUUUUAGUAACCAUAGUUUUAGCGCCGGGAAACAGAGGUAUGGCUUGAUAACCUGGUAAGAGAAGUUAAUGAUGAAUACUGAAGAAUCCUAAGAGAAUGUGCAUGUACUAACCUAACGAAACUAAGACUCAAAGACAUGCUUGGGAAGGAACAAAUUGUAAACUGGCAUUGUACCCUCGAAGACAACUUUAUGUCAUGUAGUUCAAAUAUUUAAAUAUAAUGUUUAUGAUAGUGCAAUCACUCCCUCAGCCCCAAGCAUUUUUCCUGCAUUAGAUGAUAUUCAUGACAGUAAUGUGAACAACAAGAAAUAUGUUCUUUCAAGGAAAGAAAUUAUUCUCACCCAGAAAGACCACCACGUCCUGAAGAAUAAGCUCCAUGAGCACCAGUAGUACUACCAAUCUACAAAUAAUAUUUAAGAAUCAUAAUUAUUAACUAUCAGCAUAGAGAUAGAGAGAGAGAUUGGGACAAUGUAAACAAAAUGAGAAAGCUAAACUAUUAUAAGAAGCCAAAUAAGAAAUAAAUAUUGAAGGGAAUAAGGAUUUAAGGGACUAAAAAUUAUUUUCACUUGAUAAAUGGGAUAACUAAGUCCAACAAACUAUAUUUCUACAAUUCACCCACCUAAAGAACAGUAAAAUAGUAAAAGUUGUCAAAAGGAAAUACCUGGAGACCACCAUAACUUCCAUCGCUGUCACUAGCAGAUAAAUCACUAGAGCCAUAACCACCAGAAAAGGAGUGCACACGUCCAUGCCUCUUGCCCUCUCUACUUUCAUAACUUAAAUUGUCAGUUCCUUCAGUUGGCACAUGAAGAUACGGUAAAACUGGCACUAAAGCAUUAACAGCACCUUCCCUAUCAAAUAGGUUUGCUCUUAACCGUGUUGUUAUUUGUACAAGGGCAUCCUUUGCAACAUCAAGGUCUCCAGCAAUCUGAAUAAUAACAGACCAACCAUGUUCCGUUCGUAUAAUAUUUUUUUAAAAAAAAAGAGCCAACAAAUAGAAAGCAAUGAUUAAGAAAAUCCUAUAUAAAUGAUAGAACACCUGAACCAUCUCAUCAUCUUCAGAUGCAAUUUUUGGAAGAUUCUCCUUUGACAGGAUACGGAUAUUAGCUUUUGUGAUCCUUCUCAUCUCCGUUACAAUAGCUCCUCCUUUACCAAUAAGGCAACCAAUACGUGAGGUAGGCACAAGUAAGCGGGUUGUGAAUGAUACAAUUCCAGAGUCUCCUUCAACCUUCUCACUGCAUCUAGGUUGCAACCGUGCAGCAGCUUCGAUAGAAGGUGAAUACCAAUCCUCAAAGAACUAAUGCAGCAGAAGAUUAGGAACCCCGUCAAAGCAUAGCAUAGAUACUUCCACAAGACAAAUAAACAUAGCAAAGAUGAAAAUCUGACCUCCUUAGCUGAUAUAGUUAUUAAGCAAUCAUCUCCAUCUGUAGUUGAGCUAUCUACUUUGAUGGCUGCACCUGAUUCCUGCCUGAUCUGGUUGAUUAUAGCACCACCUUUGCCAAUCACACCUCCAAUAUUAGCAGUUGGACAAACCAAACGAAGAGAAAAUUCUUUUGAUGACAUCUCAUCCCUUGGAGCUGAGUACAUGGAGCGUGGCCAUUCUCCAGUGUCACCUUUGUAUCGUCCAUAAGGUCCAACCAAUGAAGUUACCCCUACAAUCCGGGCACCAGCAGCAGGAUAUGCAUUUGACACAGCAGAAGCAAGCAAGUGCUGAGAUCGUGAAGGGUUCUCAUGAAGGCGAGAUGCAAUUUGAUGCAGAGCCUUUUUCACAACUGCAGCUUCCCCAGAUAUCUAAAGCCAAAAGUAAAUUAAAAUAUAAAAAGGCCAACCAUCUAAUAACAUUAUUAAUAUUAAAAAAAUAAAAAAGAACUAACAAUAUUACAGAAAACAAACAAAAGAAGGUGAAAUUUUCAGGAAAAAAACACAUAAAAAAAAUAACAUAUUAAAAGCAUGCCAAAAACAGUCUCAAAAGAUAUAAUUCAUAAACUGAAGAAAUCAAAGGCGAAAAAUUAAAUGCUGAUUUUGUCAACUACAGCAAUCAAAUCAACAAAAUCUUUGUCCAAUGUUACCCUAAACACAAGAAAAGCCUCUUGCCAAUGCUUUCAAUAAAUUGAAACUCAUCUCAGCAUAACUUUUUCCCAUGUCGGUGUAUGGCCAUAAACUAUGUUUUAAAGGAGAGAAGAGAUUGUUAAAUGAUUAAGGAAAAUCUAAAAGUACUACAACAAUAAUCAAUUAGUCAAAUAACCUGUACAAGUUCAUCUGUGGACAAGGCACAAGAAGGUAAAUCAUCCUUAAGAAUGCGAAUCUGAGCACCAGUUUCACUACGUAUGUUCUGAAUGAUCUGUCCACCCUUUCCUAUAACACAUCCAAUCUGAUCAGAAGAUAUAAGAAGCCGAGCAGUAAUUUGGCGGCCUUCAGAAUCUUCAUCACUGUGCAAAUCUUCUGCAACAACUCUGCCAUGCACCCUGAAUAAAGCAUCUUGAGCAGGAGAAACAAAAGAAUCCCCAUCUUCAAGGGCAUUUCUCUCAUCUCUAGAGCUAUAGAUAGUAACCACGCGUUCAUCAGAACCAGGAAUUGUCUCACCAAUUCUAAUCUUUGAUUUAGUGUCUGCUCUUAAUUGCUUAACAAUCUCCCCUCCCCUUCCAAUAAUGCUUCCUAUCUUUCUUGCAGGGCACAAAUACCUAUAAACGGUAUCAUCUGAAUCAAUAACAAAUUGUUCCCUGUCAUCACCUGCAUUUCUCCUCUUAUUUGAUCCAUUCUCAGAAUAGUCAGACUGAGAAUGAGCCCGCUUCCCAUAGCUAUUCCUCUGACCCGCCAUUAUUAUCAACAAAAAUAAAUACCUGGUUCCAAGACAAUAGUAAAACAUUACAAAUACUAAUUGAACCAAUCUUGAGGAUCGAACCACCCAAAAUGUAAAGCACCAGCACAAAAUGCUCAUCAACAGAACAAAUCAAUAUCUAAAUUAUUUUCAUUUUUCAAUCAUCAAAGCAUAAUCAGAUAACAUUAUAUCUCCACUUAAAUUUAGUUGUUGGUUUGAGUUUCUUAAUGAACAGUAAAACGCGCAUAAAAUUUAUGAUUGAACAAACACUAGAUUCCAACCAUGAUAGCAAAACUAUCAAUAACAACAAUGAAAACAAAACAGUUAGCUCUCUACAGCUCAGCUUUACAACUAGGCAAAUUCAAAGAUAAAUCACUAACUGUAUCUCAACUUUGACCCACAAGUUUAUCUUCCAUAACAAAUUAAAAUCCCACUUCAAAUCACCCAUCCAAAAUUAAUAUAACAGACAAUAGAGGGAAACCAAAUAUUAGAAAGAUUCAGUUACGUAAAAGAAUAAAAAAUUCAAAUCAACCCACAAAUUUAAACAGCAUAAAUAUAAAUAGUCUCCGAAAACUAACACAAAACACAUUAGAUUCAAUAAAGAAACUAUAAUUCCUCUCAUCAAAUACAGAAAGAACGAUAAUUCCAGUCAAAAAUGAAUUUAAAAUGAAAACAAGAGCAGAAAAUGUAGAUUGUAGAUCUGAUUAAAAGAGAAUUUUAAAAAAGCUAGAGCAAUCAGAGGGGAAUUAAUUGCCAAAAGAUAAUGGGGUUUUACCUGAGAAUUGAGAUUGAUUCUCAGCGUCUAAACAAUGAGAUUUUCAACAAGAAAAAAAAAAGAAAAAAACAAGGACUAAAGACAGAAUUUGGGGGCGAAAGAUAUUUUGCUUUCAUGAGCUCUUUUGAUUUCUAACUUGUUGGAAAUGAUUAGUUUUUGGAUUUUUCAUUUUUCUAUUUAAUUCGUGCUGAAUGGAUUUAUAAAUAAGAUUUUUAUUACUAUAUGGAUAUUAAAUUUUUAGUCGGGGUGUUUAGUUCGAGUCGUGUUAUUCGUAUUAUUUAUUCAAAUUUUAUCCUGUUAUUAUAAUUUAUUAAAAAUAAAAAAUUAACUUUUAUAAUAAAAUAUUUUCUCUUAUCAAAUAUGUGUAUAGAUAUUGUCUGAUGAAUUUAUAAAUCAACUCAAUAUUUAAUUUUUUUCAUUAACUUGAUAACUUUUGAUAUGUAAUAGAAAACUGGCAAUAUGAUGAUAAAUAAUUAGAGUGUAUUUAAUAUUUCUAAUAUGAUAUAUUUACUCAUUUCAAUUUUCUUUUAUUCAUAAGUUAAACUAUUUUUUAUUUUAAUUUCGUACAUAAUGCAUAUAUGUUGUUAUUAUUAUUAGCUUCAAACUAUACGUUUUAUAAUUUAUUAUAUGUUAUUUUUAAACACGCACUUUUGUUUUAAAUAUGUGUUUUUCACACACAUAUACAUGUGAUAGAAUUUCUAGUUAAAAAUAAAAUACAUAUAUGUAAAAAAAACCGUUAAAAAAGUAAUAAAAAAAUCAAUUAAACCCUUGUAUUAAAUUCACAUCCAAUUGAGCCUUUGUCAUUAAUUAAGAUAAUCAAUUAAGCUCAAAUUUACAUUUUAUUCAUUUUAGUUCCUAAUCUACGAAACUAUCAAUUAAGCUUAACAAUUUACUCUUUUUUUUCAUAUCUAAACUUAAAUAUAUCAAUUUAACACCUAAAACUUUCAAUUCUCAAUUAUGGAAAAUUUUAAAAAAAUUAACAGUUUUGUAAAUUCAUACAUAGGCUAGCUAGAUUAAGCUCCCGCGAUCUCAAAAAUAUAAAAAUUAUAAGAAAAUGACUAAAUUGUACUAAACAAUAUUGUUGAAUAAAAACUUGAUAUUCGACUAUGGCGUUUUCUCCUUCAAUUUCUCUCAAUUUCGGUGGGGAAGAAGAUGUCUUCCCACCAAUUCUAUAAUAUAUACAUAUAUUACCCUUAUACUUAGUUUUAAUUAAUUAUGUUUACCUUUAAUUAAUAAAUUUUAAGCAUAAUCAUGUUAUAUCGUCCACUAGUUAAAAUUUAAGUCGUAAAGUUAUUUUCUAAUUGAAAAUCUAUAGUGAUUGAAUUUUACAAUUUAGUUCCUAGGCCUUAAUUAAACAUAAUUUUAGCUAAAUUACUUAUCCAAAAUUCAAUCCACUUAUAUAAUAUCUCGAUAAUUAUUUAAUAAAAAUAUUUACAGGUUCAAUUUACAGAAACAAUGUCUCAAAAUCGUAUUUUCUGACACCAUGAACUUUCAGGUCGUUACAUUUCUAACUUGAAGUUAGUUGAAAGAGAAGGUCAAAAAGAUUGAGGAUUUGACAGUCGAGUUUUUUUAAGGAAAAAGAGUCUUAUGCUGUUGGUAAAGCCUUGUUUACCUUGGCUCAAGGGAAGUUGUUGGACUCAUUUCAGGACUAAUUGGUCUUAGCCCUUCAAGUUGUCUAUGGUCCUUUUGACUACCGGCAGUUGAACUUGGCAGCUCUACUGGAAAAGGACUUUGAUUUAUUAAGCUUCAAUCUGAACGAUUCAGAUCUUGACAAUGAUAAGUGGCAAGAGUUUCAAGAGCGACUCCAAAUUCCUUUAACUGCUCCGAAGGAGACGCCUUCUGCCGAGACAACAACAAGAAAUGCCUCUACUGAAGGUGAUCAAGUAGGUAGGGAGUCGAAUGGUGGUUUUUUAAAAGAUAUAGAUCCCCCUACUGCUAAUGUUACCUUCAAGAAGAAUAAUGUUAACCUUGCUGAGAAUAAUACUUGUAAUACUAGGCAUAAAUCCCUUCUUGAUGUUGAAUGACUUUUUUUCUCUUAAUCAAUAAAAUUACAUUUUCCUUCCAUUCCAUUUCUGUUUCGUUGUUUAUUUAUUCUUAGGAGAGUUUCUUUCAAAGUAAUUAAGUGUAAUGACCAUUCAUUAUUACUAUGACGCUUUCAUUGACAAAUGCUAAUACCUGCAAGUUUGCUAACUUUGAGAGAAAUAAGAUAUUGUGUCGUCAAAUUUCUUGUCAUUUAGAAGGAUUAGAGUGUACGAAAGCUUUUCUAUUAACAUCUUCUAGUGAAGGAAUUACUUCUCUUACUUUCUUGAUAGAAAUAUUCGUUGUGAUUAUUUAUCUUGGGUAAAAUCUUUCGAAUGACCCUACCACUAAACCAAUUUACCAGGACUUUAAACUUGUAUUAUUGGCGUAUUCUUUUCUAAUAGCGCUAAUGUUUUCUUUGUGAAACAUCCUUUUCUAGGGUCAUUUCUUGAGUAGAACAUUUUAGAAAGUCCUGAUCCCACACAUAUAGGGAGGCUUACGAAAGGUCCUACUCCCAGCAUAUAAGGAGAUACUUAUGGGAGGUCCUGCUCCUAAUAUAUGGAGGGCACUUAUGAGGGGUCCUGCUCCCAACACAUAGGGGGCUUAUGGGAGGUCCUACUCCCAGCACAAAGGGGGAGGCUUAUAAGAGGUCUUACUUCCAACACAUGACGGAGGCUUAGAGAGAUCUUGCUCCCAACACAUGGCGGAGGCUUGCAAGAUAAAUAUGGGUGUUUUAUGACGCAUGGUGCUAUAUAAAAAGCAAUGUGUGAAUGGAAAGUCAUGGUAUUUUAUUAUUUGUUUUUGUUGUACAUAACUUGUAAAAAAAUAGAACAAAAACAAUCAUAAAUUUGAAAAACAUACUUUUCAUUUAAGUAUAAAAUCUGCGAAGGUUACGAGCAAUCGAUGUUCGUGGUAUAGCUAUUCCAUUCAUCUGUUCUAAUCGGUAUUAUCCAAAGUCGAUAAAUACAGCUACCUGGUAUGGUUUUUUCCUUGGGUAGACAUUUUCCCUUUGUUCCCUCUAGUUGACUUGCAUCUGCGUUCUUCAUAACCAAGUCUCCUACCAGAAACUCCCACCUAUGCACCUUGGAGUUGCAGUAUUUGCCCACCUAUUGUGCUCUAACUACUAGGCAGGGGGUUGCUUAAUUUCUGGUUUCUUCUAGGAGAUUUAAGUUCUUUCAGAGCAUAACUUCGUUAGCUUGGGAGGUAUAAUGCAACAUACAAUGGAUGUUGGGGCCAAUUUCUAUAGGUAUCACCGUUUCAGUCUCAUAUAUAAGAUUAAAGGAAUCUUUCGUGUUCCUAAAUACGAUGUCAUUCAAAGAGACCAUAAAACUCUAAUGAGUUCUUCCAACCAUCUAUUCUUGGCCGCAUCCACUUCCUUCUUCAGCCCUUGGAGAAUUUUCUUAUUGGUGCCCUCGGUCUGACCAUUCGUUUACAAAAUCUUGACUAAACUAUGUCAAAUAAAUGUGAAGAUUCUCACAAAAAUCCUUGAAUUUCCUUUGAAUUUGGGUUUUGUUGUCUGCACAUAAAAUCCCAUACCAGCAAAUGAUAGUCUUUCACACAAAAUUUUCCAUUUACUUUUCAAUGAUGGUGGCCAAGGCUUCAACUUCCAUCCAUUUGGUGAAAUACUCAAUGACUAUCACAAUAUGUUUCUUCUACACAACAACAGGUGAAAAUGGGCCAACUAUGUCAAUUCCCCAAGUGUUGAACGACAAGAGACUAAAGAUGCUUUAGAGAGUUUCGUUAGUUAUCGAGGUGCCGGUGAGAAUUGUUGGCAAGGUUCACAAUUGGCGACAUAUUUCACCAUGUCUUUCUGCAUUAAGGGCCAAUAGUAACCCUACCAUAGGAUUCUUUAAGUGAGAUCCAUUACACCCAGAUGAUGUGCGUAAAUUACUUCAUGGGCUCUCGCCAUUAUAUAAUCAGCUUUGAAAGGUACCAAACACCUAAGAAGUGGUUAGAGAAAUCUCUAAUAGGACCCCAUCAAUCAAAAUAUAAUGGGAAGCCAACCAUCCUACCAUUUCAUGCUCUUUUGGGUUCCUAAACAUCUUUUCUUUUAUUAAGAAUCUCGAAUAGGGGUCAUCUAAGUGUCUUUAGAGUCAACAGUGAAAACUUGCUCUAGUGCUUCAUAACUUGGAUACUCCUUGUGUUCCAACAAGAUUUUCCCCCUUUCCAUGAUGUUGAUGGUGCCUGCUAACUUUAAGAAUGCAUCUGCUCUGGCAUUUUCUGUCAUUAGGGUUAACUUGAAUUUUCAAGAACCACUUAAUUAGAUCCAUAACUAAGUAGUACUUGGCCAGUGUUGGUUUUUUUGUCAACGUACUCUCCUUGAACUUGCUUCGCCACCAGUUGUGAAUUCAUGUGGACAUGGAGAUUCCAGAUGCUUAAUUUAUGAGCUAAUUCUAGUCCUACCACCAGGGCUUCAUAUUCAACAAUAUUGUUAGAAGUGGACAAAGAGAAGGACAAAUUGUACUACUAUUUUUCUCCUUCAGGCCCUACCAAUAGAACUCAAGUUCUAAAGCCAUUUUUUUAAAAUUUCGUCUACAUAGAGAAUUUAAGAAUUUUCUUGCAAUGGAUUAGGGUUCACAAAAGGACCUUUUGGGUAUUUGAUAAACCUCGUCGGGGUUGUUAUUAAAAUCUUUGAAUGGUUGAGAAAAUGAGCACUUAUCUAUGAAGUUAGCUAGAGCUUGGGGCUUGACUUCCUUCCACAAUAGAUAUUCUGGCCUAAAUUCACUUAGCUCAACACUUCAUUUGAUCACCUUUCUAAAAGUGUCAACCUUGCCCAGGAUAUCCUUAAGUGGUUGGCCGGAUAAGAUCAUGAUGGGGUGAGCUUGAAAAUAAGGACGGAUUUUUCUUGCAACCAUUACUAAGGCAAAGACAAUCUUUUCUACCUCGAAGUAGUUUAGCUCUUUGUCUUGCAGAACCCUACCGACAUAAUAAAUUGGUUACCGUUGUCCACCAAUUUCCUUAACCAAUUCGCUGCUACUGUUUUGUCGGAUGCAACAAGAUACACAUACAAUAAAUGUAACAGCCUGAUUUUUAGUGGUGACAAAACAGUGGUUUUAGGACCACAAAUUUAUGUCGUAUCGACUUGUAAUUAUUAUUUUUAGAAUAUUUAUAGAGUUAUUAGAGUCGUAUUAAAAUUUGGUUUAGAUAUUAACGUUUGGAUGCUUAAUUAAAAAAAAGGACUAAAUUGAAAAAUGUAAAAAGUUAGUAAUUAGUUCAAUUAAAUGAUUAAAUGGCUUAUUAAUUACAUGAAGAGGGACCAAUAUAAUAAUUAGUCCCUAAUGGAUAAUGUUGGACGGCAAAAGAAAUUAAAAUGAUAAAUUAAUGUGAUUCUAAUGGCAUAAUUAUAAAUAAAUAAAAAUUAAAUAAACAAAUUAGAAGAAAUAAGUUUUUCUUCUUCAUUUCUUCUUAUGCCAUUGCCGAAACACCAUAGAAGUAGCUUGGAGAAUCAAUUGAGCAUAAAAGCUUGCGUGUGAGUUCAAUUCUUACCUGUUGCUUGUAAUUUUUAUAUUUUUGAGAUCGUUGCAACUAGGUCCAGCUAACUCGUACCUUCGUUUCUAAUUCUGUUAAAAAUUGUGUAAGUUUCCAUUAUUGAAUAUUGGAUUUUUUAUGAAUAUCACGUAUUUGGAGUUUUGAUUUUGUUCUUUGAAGAUUUUGUAAAGAGAUUUUUGUUAAAUUUAAAUUUUACGAUUAAAUUGUGUAAAUUCGAAAAAUAAAAUGGUAUUAAUUGCAAAAUAGAUUGAAAAUGAAAUAUAUGCUAAUAAAUGAGUAACUUUACAUUUUAGAUCAAGAUUUCGUAGAUACUCAUAGAAAAGGAAAAAUAGCGGAACAGUUCAUAAACUUCUGCAACUACUACAAUUUAAUCCAAGUAAGUUCGUACUGUUAAAAUUUAACAUUUAUAUACAUAGGUGAUUGGUAUUACAUAACAUAAUAUAUGUUCCAUUGUUGGAAAUGAAUCAUUAUUUGAGUUAUAAUAUUGAAUUUGAUGCUCGAUUUCAAUUGAACGCAGGAUAGAUACAUUCGUGUUUUGGUGUGUUAUAGGGGUUUGGAGUGGGAGGAGAUAUUUGUAUAUUACCCAAGUAAAAUGAGGUUUAGCAUUUGUUGCGAACUCUCGCGUUAUACUUUCUGUUUGGCGUGAUUCGGGUGGAUCAACUCUUAUGAGCUUUUGUUCAGUUUUUAUGAGCUUCUAUUCAGCUCUUAUGAACUUCUGUUGGCGUGUUUCAGAUGGCCCAACUCUUAUGAGCUUUUGUUUGGCGUAUUUCGGUUGGAUCAGCUCUUAUGAAUUUAUGUCUGGUGUGUUCGAUCUAUCUGACGAUGUACUCUUACCCGUAAGUCAUUCUUUGAAUGGAAAAUCCUGAUAAGCUAAUUUGUUUAAUGAAUUUGAAAGAUAUGUUACUUAUUCCAUAUUGAUCUGAACAUAGAUGAACUUAUCGAUUAAAAUUGUAAAUGACAGGGAGUUCUUAUGGAUGAUUAUUAUUGUUAGAAUUAUUAUAAUUAUUUUAGUAAGAUUUAUCGUCUAAUACGUCAAACUUACUAAGCUCCAUUAAGCUUACUUGUGUUGUUUAAUGUCAUUGUAGAUUCUCGGAAGGUUAGAUGAUCGGAUCAGUACUCAAGCCACACUAUCCAACUCAUCUCGGUAGUUUUUGGAACGUUUAAUACAGAUUAUAUGGCAUGUAUAAGCUCUUGUGUGGUUUUGGUUAUUGUUUGGCUUAUAUAAAUAUUAUGAAUGAUAUUUUGUGCAGAUAAACAACUUAAAUAUUACAUGAGAAUGGGGUAUAAUUUUUAUGCUAGUAUGAAUGGUAUAUAUAAAUGAAAUGUUGUGAUUGUGGUACAUCUGAUAGGUAUUUUGAUUAGGUAUUGCUUGAAUGAAUAAAUAAAUUGAAUUGAUGUUUAUUUUGAUGUAUAAUUAUAUAUACUUGUGGUACCAAUGAUGGUACAUUGGUUAGGCACUUAUUAGGUUGGUUUUGCUGUGUUUUUAACUCGAUUAAUGUCAUUUUGAAUUUGUAUUUUGGUUGGUAUUUGAGUUUCUUAAGGUCCAAACAAACUUGAAAUGGUAAACUUGUGUUUUAAGGUUCAUUUUGGGGACACACAGCCGUUCAAGGCAUGCAAGUUAGGCAGUUACACGGCCUAGCACACGGCUUGGCACAUGGGUGUGUAAGGCCAUUUCGAAGGUUACACGACCUGGCACACGGGGGUGUGAUUUGGCCGUAUGACCCAAGCCAGUGAGUUACACGGGCAUGGACACGGCCUGAGACACGACCGUGUGUCCCUAUUUCGAAUGUCCACAUGGCCUGAGACACGGGCAUGUGUUUUAGCCGUGUGAUCCCUACAGUCUAAAUUUUUCAACUUUUUCCUAAAAUUUCUAAAUGUUUUUUAUUUAGUCCCGGACGGUUUCUAUAGUAUUUUCAGGGCCUUAAGGGCUCGAUUAAAGGACAUUAUGAAUGUAUUUGAAUGAAACUAGAUUAUGUUUGCAUUGAUGUAUGAAUUGAAUGGUUUACUAUUCUAUUGGUCUGGUAUUGCUUCGUAACCUAGUUCUAAUGACAGAUACGAGUUAGGGGUGUUUCAUUUAGUAGUAUCAAAGCUACAGUUUUGUCGGUUCUUAGACUGAAUGUAGCAUAUAAAAUUUUUAGAAUUACAUGUCAUAUAAAUUUGUGAUAGUGUGACUUGUUUGAUCCGAUCUAACCUUUAUUUUUCUUAUAGAUUGUAAAGAUGUCAGACGGAUCUAAUCGUGCUGACAAUAAUGAGGUUAACAGUAACGUACCGUCCUCUGAUCAUGGGACGAGUAGUAAUGUUUCGAUUCUACCGGCUUAGAAACAUGAGCUUAAAAAUAUGUUCUUUGGGUAUAUGAACCAGUGGUUCAACGAGUUUAUGCAAAUGAAUAAUUUAGCUCAACGACCUCCACCCCUAUUGUACCCCUUGUUAUACCACCUGUUGUACCUCCGGUUGCACUUUCACAUCCUUCUGUGAUUGAACCCAGUAGGCGUAUUCCGGUUAAGAAACUUAGAAAGUGUGGUGCUGAAAAAUUUUAGGGCAGAUUUGAGGAUGAUCCGGUUAAAGUUGAGUAUUGGCUUCAGAAUAUCUUACGGGUUUUCAAAGAAAUGGCUUGCUCUCCUAAUAAUUUCCUUAGAUGUGUUGUUUCAUUAUUAAAGUAGGAAGUGUACAGUUGGUGGUCUACGAUAGUAGCUGUGGCACGUAGAGAGAAAAUUUCCUGAGAACUCUUUCAGACUGAGUUUAAAAAGAAAUAUGUUAAAAAAUGGUAUUUGGACAAAAAAAAAGAGAGAAUUUCUUGAGUUACAUCAAUGAAAUAGAUCAGUAACUGAAUACGAGAGAGAAUUUGUGUAUCUCAGUAAAUAUGCUCAAGAAAUUGUACCUACUAAAGAAGAUAUAUGUAUCUAGUUUGAAGAUGUCCUGAAUGAUGAAAUCUGAAUGAUGAUCAGAGGUAAUGAAAUUUGAGAAUUUGUUAUCUUAUUUGAUCGUGCACAGAAAAUACAAGAAGUGUACAACCGUAAGAUACAAUGGGAUAGACGGAUUCGAGAAUUUCACAAGAAAGAUUUUUCCAAGUCAUUUUCUGUAUCAUCGGUAAAGAAGACUAAAUAUGAUUUUAAUCGAGCUACCUCGGUGUUUGAGCAUCCAAACAAAAAUAAGACGAUUUAGUAUGAUUUCAGAGCACUUACUAAACCAGCUGAUUGUGUGGGUAGUGUACGAAAUGCUUUGAAGUUCAAUUGUAGAUAUUGUGGGAAAUAUCAUCUUGGUGAGUGUAGAGGUAAAUUGGGAGCCUAUCUUAGAUGUGGGUCGACUGAUCAUUUUAUUCAAAAUUGUCCUAAAUAGCUAAAAGAGAAUGAAGAUCAGAAAGAAAAGCAAAUGUCUACCUCUCAGAAAAGUAGACGUUCGGGCCAGAAUAGUGUUAUCGGGACUACUCAUACGGGAAUGAAAGACACUGUCAUUCAAUCAGAGGCUAGAACACCUGCUCACACCUAUGUCAUUCGAGCCAGGGAGGAAGCUACUACUCCAGAUGUGAUUACUAGUAUAUUCUAUCUCUUUGAUGUUACUAUGUAUGCAUUGAUUGACCCUAGGUCAAAUUAUUCUUAUAUUUGCACUGCAUUAGUAAUGAAAAAGAAUUACCUAUUGAGUCUACUAAUUAUGAUAUUCAAGUUACUAAUCCACUAUGUCAAAGUGUGAUAAUUAACUUAGUUUGUCGUAAUUGUCUACUGAAAGUUAGAGGUUGUGAAUUCUUUGCCGAUUUAAUGUUGUUACCCUUUCGGGAAUUUAAUGUUAUUCUGGGUAUGGAUUGGCUAUCAUUGCAUAAUGCUAUAGUAAACUGUAGACAGAAACGGAUUGAUUUGAAAUGUCAAACAAGAGAGAUGAUUUAAGUUGAGCCUAAAAGUCCGAAAGAUAUUAGAAUUAUUUCAGCUUUUUUUGCUCAGAGAUUGAUACGAAAAGGUAACGAAACAUUUCUAGUAUAUAUUCCUGAUAACAGAUAUUCAGAAUCGAAGCUAGAUCAGUUACCAGUUGUUAGUGAGUUCGCUAAUGUUUUUCAUAAAGUGUUUCCCAGUAUGCCUCCUGAUCGUGAAGUUAAGUUUGUGAUUGAUUUUGUUCCUAGAACUGUACCGAUAUCAAUAUCACCAAAACGUAUGGCACCAGCUGAAUUAAAAUAAUUGAAAGCACAGUUGCAAGAGUUAUUAGACUGAGCGUGUUUCCCUGGGUUGCACGUGUGUUGUUUGUGAAAAAGAAAGACGGCUCUUUCAGAUUAUGUAUAGGUUACAAACAAUUGAACAAAGUCACGAUAAAAAAAUAAGUAUCCUUUUUCACAUAUCGACGAUUUGUUUGAUCAAUUGAAAUGUGCCACAGUGUUCUCGAAGGUAUAUCUCAAAACCGGGUAUUAUCAAUUGAAGGUUAAAGACUGUGAUGUGUUAAAGACUACUUUUAGAACUCGCUACGGUCAUUAUGAGUUUCUAGUAAUGCCAUUUGGUUUGACUAAUACCCCUGUUGCUUGUAUACAUUUAAUGAAUCAGGUUUUUCAACCUUAUUUGGAUAGAUUUGUCGUUGUAUUUAUUGACGAUAUAUUGAUUUAUUCCAAGACAGAAUCUAAGCAUGCUCAACAUCUGAGAAUCGUACUACAGUUUGAGAGAAAAAUAAUUGUACGCAAAAUUUAGUAAAUGUGAAUUCUAGCUUCGCGAGGUUAGAUUUUUGGGUCAAAUAGUAUCAACAGACGAGAUCCGAGUUGAUCCAAGUAAAGUUUCUGUUGUGAUGAAAUGGAAAACUCCGAAAAAUGUUUCAGAAGUGCGAAAUUUUCUGGGUUUAGAAGUUACUAUCAACAUUUUGUUAAAAAAUUUCGAUUAUUGCUUCAUUGAUGACCAGAUUAUUAAAGAAAAAUGUUGAGUUUGUUUGGUCCGAUAAAUUACAACAGAGUGUCGAUCAGUUGAAGAACAUGCUGACGGAAGCCUUAGUGUUGACUCAGCCUAAAUCUGGAGUAACGUAUAUUGUUUAUAGUGAUGCGUCUCUUAACGAUUUGAGUUGUGUGCUUAUGCAGGUAGGGGAAAUAGUACCUUAUGCUUCUCGUCAAUUAAAGUCGCAUGAAAAGAAUUAUCCUACUCAUGAUCUCGAGCUAGCCGUGAUUAUAUUCGCUUUGAAGAUUUGGAGACAUUAUUUAUACGGCGAGAAAUGUCUCAUGUUUACAGAUCACAAAAGUUUAAAGUAUUUGAUUACUCAAAAAGAAUUGAAUUUGAUACAAAGACGAUGGUUAGAAUUACUAAAAGAUUACGAUAUGGUUAUUGGUUAUCAUCCGGAAAAGGCUAAUGUAGUUGCGGAUGCACUUAGUCGAAAGUCGUCAUUGUUUGCACUUCGAGCGUUGAAUGUUCAUUUAGCUCUAAAUGAAUAUGGUUUUAUAUUAGCAGAGUUGAGAAGCAAACCUCUAUUUCUACAAUGAAUUCGAGAAUCGCAAAAUGAAGAUUCGAGGUUGACGAUGAAACUAAAGUUCAUCCUGAAUAAUUUGAGUUCAAAGUACAGUGUUGAUGAUAAUGGUACAUUACGUUAUCUCGAUAGAAUUUGUGUCCUGAAUAAUCUGGAUUUGAAACAUCAUAUUCUUUUUGAAGCUCACAACACUACAUACUCUAUUCAUCCAGGUAGCACGAAGAUGUAUUAUAACUUGAAACAAAUGUACUAGUGGUCGGGUAUGAAACAAGAAAUUUGUGAAUUUGUAGCUAAAUGCUUGAUUUGUCAACAGGUGAAAGCAGAACAUCAGGUAUCGUUAGGUUUACUACAACUUGUUAUGAUUCCUGAAUGGCAGUGAAAGCGAGUCACGAUAGGUUUCGUAUUUGGUUUACCUGUAACUUCAAGAAAGAAAGAUUUGAUCUGGGUGAUUGUUGAUAGAUUGACUAAAUCGGUACAUUUUGUUCCAGUCAGAACAGAUUUUACACUUUUGAGAUUAGCGGAACUAUAUGUAUCCGAUAUUGUAAUAUUACACGAAGUUCUGACAUCUAUUAUUUCAGAUCGAGAUUUACAUCGAGAUUUUAGAGCAAACUUCAAGAGGCCCUAGGCACUAAACUUCAUUUCAGCACAACAUUUCAUCCUCAGACUUACAGGCAAUCAUAACGAGUGAUUCAGAUUCUAAAAUAUAUGCUGAGAUGUUGUAUACUUGAAUUUAAAGGUAACUGGAAAAAGUACCUACCGUUAGCUGAAUUUUCUUAUAAUAACAGUUAUCAUUCUAGUAUAAAAAUGGUACCGUUUGAAGCUCUUUAUAGAAGAAAAUGUAAAACACCGUUGUAUUGGUCAAAAUUGAGUGAAUCUAAAAUGGUGAAAAUUGAUUUGAUCUGAGAAAUAGAAGACAAAGUUCAAAUUAUUUGAGAUUGUUUGAAAGCUGCAUCUAACCGUCAGGAAUUAUACGCGGAUCUAAAAAGAAAAGAUCUAGAAUCUGCGAUUGGCGAUCGAGUAUUCCUGAAAGUUUCUCCGUGGAAGAAAGUGCUGCAUUUUGGCAAGAAAGGAAAGUUGAGUCCGAGAUUUAUAGAAUCGUACGAGAUUGUUGAAAGAAUCGGCCCUGUAGCUUAUAGAUUAGCUUUACCCUCUGAACUCGAAGAAAUCUAUAAUGUGUUUCAUGUUUCAAUGCUGAGAUGGCACAGAUCUGAUCCUUCACAUGUGAUUCCUCAUAGUGAGAUUGAGCUACAACCAAACUUGACGUAUUCGAAAGAACUCGUAAGAAUUUUAGCUCAGGAAGUGAUAGGUUAUAUACGAAAUACGUUAUAUACGAAAUUAAAAGAAAAAUAUAUUGUUACAUGAAAUGUCAUGAUGAGGUAUAAAUUGUAAAAUAAGUAAAAGUGAUAGGUGAAAUGUAUAAUAAGAAUUAUUAAUGGAAUUAUGGAAGAUUAUUAAAUAUUGAGUCAAGUUACAUCUGUUAAUGAAAAAGGAAGAUAUAAUUAUACGAAGUAUUGUUAUAAGGAUUAAAUGGUAAAAAGUGUAAAAGUGACAUGUGUAUAUUAUGACUUGCCUAAGUAGACGAGAUAAGAACUAGUGGGAUAGUAGUGGCAUACCAUUAAGGAACCUUAUCUCAUCACAUCAGUGGAUCCAAGAAAGAGCUAAGGUAUUAAUUUCUGUCAUUUCAGUAAAUGGCAUGUACUUAGGUGUGUGUAUUAAGGUUGUAUGUGAUGCGACUUAAAUAUUUACUUAAUUCAUAUGAAAUAGUUUAAAUGUUUAUUAAGUGAUAUAAGAAAAUUAGAUUUUAGACUACUUAAUUACGAUUUAUAUUUGAAUUAGAUUGGCUUAAAAUUUGAUAUGUGAACAAGGGUUAAACUAGGUAAACUUUAGGAAUUAAUUUGGCAAAUUAUCCCUUAAAUUUAAAAUUUAAACAUGAUUACUGAAAUCCACACAAUCACGUUCCCUAUUUUUCACAAUGGCCUUUCUUUCACUUUAGUAUAUUGUUUUAAAUGUAAGAAUGGUAAAAAAAUUAUUUCGGCUUAUCUCGAAUAUCAAUAAUUAAUAUACUAGAACAACAAAACUAAUAUGUACAAAUUAUAAUGUUAUUUUUAUUUAGAAAUUAUUAUUAGAGUUUCUGAAAACCAAUGUAACACUUCUAUACUUGAUCCGGUAAUCAGGUUGGGUAUAGAGGUGUUACAUCUUAUGAGCUUAUGUUGGCGUGUUUCGAGUGGACCAGCUCUUAUGAGCUUUUGUUUGGCAUAUUUCAGUUGGAUUAGCUCUUAUGAGUUUCUGUCUGGUGUAUUCGGUCUAUCUGAUGAUGUACUCUUACCCGUAAGUUGUUCUUCGAAUGGAAAAUCUUGGUAAGGUAAUAUGUUUAAUGAAUUUGAAAGAUAUGUUACUUAUUCCACAUUGAUCUAAAUUGAUCUGAACAUAGAUGAACUUAUCGAUUGAAAUUAUGAAUGACAGGGAGUUCUCAUGGAUGAUUAUUAUUGUUAGAAUUAUUAUAAUUAGUUCAGUAAGAUCUAUCGUUUAAUACGUCGAACUUACUAAGCUCCAUUAAGCUUACUUGUGUUGUUUAAUGUCAUUGUAAAUUCUCGAAAGAUUGGACUAUCGGAUCGAUACUCAAGUCACACUAUCUAGCUCAUCUCAAUAGUUUUUGGAACGUUUAAUACAAAUUAUAUGGCAUGUAUAGGCUAUUGUGUGGUUUUGGUUAUUGUUUGGCUUAUGUAAAUAUUAUGAAAAUAUUUUGUGCAGAUAAACAACUUAAAUAUUACAUGAGAGUGAGGUAUAAUUUUUAUACUAGUAUGAAUGGUAUAUAUAAAUGAAAUGUUGUGAUUGUGGUACCUUUGAUAGGUAUUUUGAUUAGUUAUUGCUUGAAUGAAUCAUUGAAUUGAAUUGAUGUUUAUUUUGAUGUAUAAUUAUAUAUACUUGUGGUACCAAUGAUGGUACAUGGUUAGGCACUUAUUAGGUUGGUUUUGUUGUGUUUUUUGCUCAAUUAAUGUCAUUUUGAAUUGGUAUUUUGUUGGUAUUUAAGUUUCUUAAGGUCCAAGCAAACUUGAAACGAUAAACUUGUAUUUUAAGGUCCAUUUUGGGGCCACACAGCCUGAGACACAAGUGUGUGUCUCAACUAUGUGUGACACACGGCCAUGCGACACGGACGUGUAUCCCUUGUAGGUUCAAGGCAUGCAAGUCAGACAGUUACACGGCCUAGCACACGGUCUGGCACAUGGGCGUGUGAGGCCAUUUCAAGGGUUACAUGGCCUAGCACAUGGGCAUGUAGCUUAGUCGUGUGACCCAAGUUAGUGAGUUACAUGAGCAUGGACAUGAUCAUGUGUCCCUAUUUCGAAUGUCCACGCGGCCUGAGACACGGGCGUUUGUCUCAACCGUGUGACCCCUACAGUCUAAAUUUUUCAACUUUUUUCUAAGAUUUUCAAAUGCUUUUGAUUUAGUCCUGAACUGUUUCUAUAGUAUUUUUAGGGCCUCGAGGGCUCAAUUAAGGGACAUUAUGUAUGUAUUUGAAGUAAUUAGAUUAUGUUUGCAUUGAUGUAUGAAUUGAAUGGUUUACUAUUUCGUUGGUCCGGUAUUACUCCGUAAUCCUGUUACGAUGACAGAUACGGGUUAGGGGUGUUUCAAUAAAUCACCUAGUAAAAGAGACACUAGAAGUGGAAGGGUGCUCAGGUACUGCUUUAACUUCUCAAAAGAUUGUUGACACUUUUAUAUCCACUAAAAGGGACCUUUUAACAGUUUGAAGAAUUGUAGGCAUUUGUCAACAAUCUAAAUGAUGAGUUAUCGUCAUAUGAUUAUUUUGGACUAUAUCUUACUUAUAUUUGUUUGGUUUCCUGAGCAUUUUUAUAUGUUUUAAAUUCAUUUUAAUGAUUUGACCUCUUUAUUUGUAUUGUAAAUAUUGUGUAUUUUUAGUUUUUUUUAUGCAUUUAGUUUCAAUAAAAUAUUUCAUGUGAAAUUUGCAGGUAAAACAAAUUUGGGAAGAAGAUUUCAAUAUAUGAAACCAUGAGAUUAAAUGCAUUAAGCCUAAAUUUGAUCCAAGAUAAUGAGUAAAAGUUAAAAGCUCAAAAGAUUAAAAAUUUGUAAUUUGAACACUUUCAGAACUUUCAGUCGAAACACUUCUUAGUGUUUCGAUCAUGUCUCGAGCUUUAGGACUCUAUUUUAGGUGUACCUUAUAUCAUCGAAAAGGGGAUUUGAAGAUCCAUUCAAAUAUUGAAACACCAACGCCAAAAUGCAUCAGGAAGAAAUUCAAAAGUAGAGAUAAAUUUACAAGUUUCACAUUAAUGGACAAUUUUGACGCAUUUUCGUGUUUGGCUCAUAUCUCCUAACAUAAUUAGAGUUUGGAGUUGAAAUUUUUACAUCAUAUAGACCAUCAAUCAAUUCUCUUGGACCUUUCCUAUUGAGAGCUGUUAACUUGGACCAAAUGAGUCAUCUUUUAACAUGUAAAAAAUGCCUCAAAAGAUGACAAAGAAGUAGGCCUAAAAAUUUAUUAUUAGCAUAUCCUUUGUAUUGUCAUUUUUCUCUUCACAAAUUUCUAUAAAUAGUCUUUGGUUUUAGCAUAGUAGACAUCUUAAAGUUGAGUUGAAGAUCAUUUGCUUGUUAAGUUUUUUGUUUGUUUCAUUAUUCAUGUAAAAUCUCAAGUUUCUUAUAUCUAAUAUGUAUAUUUCAUCUAAGUUUGAGUUUUUUUACUUUUGCUAUGUAAUUUUAAGUUUUCAAUGCUGAGGUGAAAGGGUGAAACUCUUGGGAAAUAUUAAAGUAAAUUCCAUACUCAUCAUUUGAGCUAAAAUUAAUUAUCAAUCACUUGUUAUAAUCAUACUUGAAAAGUAAGAUAUUUUAUUUGUUAUAGACAAUAUAUAGCACAAUGAAUGCUUGGAUAAAUUAACCUUGAUUUGUUGUAGACAUAAAAAUUGGCAAAAUAUAUAUUUGAAAUCUUUUUAUAAGUCUUGAAGUUAUCAAGUGAUUAUAAUACCAUAUGCUUGAACUUUCAUAUUGCACCAUCAUCUGCUUAUGGAUUCUUUUGUUAAACUUUUGGACUUAUUAGACAAUCAUUUUGGACACUUCAUUGAUGGACAUACAUUUGCUCAUGGAUUCAUAUGCUUAAUUAGUGGACGUACAUUACUAGAUCAUCGAUUGUGACCUCCAUUUAUGUAUGGAUUUUAAUUGAGUAAUAGUAUUGAGUAUUAAAAUUUAGUCUUAAUACGACAAUAAGAGUUGAUCCCGACACCAAAAGUUGAUCCUCUAACCUCAGCAUAUUUUGUGUUGACUUUUUAUUUCUAGUGUUUCUAGCUACUACUUCCAUUAUCAAUGCUUAUUCCAAAGUUAAGUGUUAAAUUUCUAUUCUAACAUAAUAUUUGUAAUCUUGUAAGUUCUAAUCAACUUCUCUGUCGAUCGACCUCAGACUCCCAAGAUUUUAUUACUUGAAUAUAACCUGGACUUAGGUUGUAGACCUAGAAAGUCACUGUCACUAAGGGAUACAAUUUGUCCAGUUAACCGUUGAAUUUCAUUGGGCUUCUACGGAGGAGUCAUUUCCAAGAUGGCCUUAUUUUUUUUGGAUUCACUUCAAUCCCACUCUCAGAUAUCAUGAAACCCAUGAAUUUCUUGGCACUUGGUCCGAAAAUGUAGUUAUUUGGAUUGAACUUCAUGUUGCAUUUGUGUAGCACCGUAAAUACUUCUCAAAGGUUAUUGACAUGUUCCAUGGUGGCACUUUUGACAAUUAUGUCAUUUAAGUACGAUUUCAUACAUCUCCCUAUUUGUUUCUAAAAUAGAUUACUCACCAACUGUCGAUAGGUAGCUCUUGUAUUCUUUAGACUGAAAGGCAUCAUCCUGUAACAAUAUACAUCUUCAAUAACGAAAGAUAUCUUCUCUUGGUUUUCUUUAGCCAUAAAUAUUUUAUUGUAGCUUGAAAAAACAUCUAUGAAGCUCAUAUAUUGGUGGCCUGCAAAAGCAUCCUCCUAUAGAUCUUUGAAAGGGAGCGAAAAGUUAUCUUUGGCAAUCAUUAUUCAAGUUGGUGAAAUCUACACCCGUUUUUCAUUUGUUUUCGGAUUUGGGCACCAUUACCACAUUGGAGACUCAAUAAGGGCAUAGGACCUAUUGUAGUCACAACCUUCUCAACGAAGAAUUUGCUAUUCUUUUUAUUUACUAGUUGUGCAUCGGGAUCCACCCCUAGGGAAUGUUGAAUGACAAACGAGUGAAUUCCUGGCUUGUUUGUCGCAGACCAGGCAAAGACAUCUUGACAUUCCGUCAACAAGGAAUUUCAAAAGAUUUUUUCUUUUCAAAGGGAAGGAUGGAAACAAUCUAGGUAACCUUCUCAAGGUAUUCCCGAUACAAUUAAAUGGAUUCCAUUGUUUAUGUUGGUUGUGCCUUGGGAAGUUGGGUCUCUGGUCUAGCUUCAAGGCUUUCCAAAUCAAUUACCAUCCUUCUAAUGAUAUUGGCCCCCAUCAAAGGAUGAAAAUGCAAUGUGAAACAAGCCGGAGAAAGGUGAGAAGGGUUGAUAUUUCCCUGUGAGUUGUAGAGAGACAAUGUGACACUCACGGGCCGUCUUCUAGUUGAUUUUUAUAUAUCCCUCACCCGUGAGGGUAGAGAACUUGGCUUUCAUAAAUAAGGUGGCUAUCACCACUUUAGUCAUCCUCAUAAUUGACCUUCUAAAAAUGGCAUUUUAGGCCAUCGAAUGGUCAACUACUAAAAAUUCCACCAUUUCAGUAGUGGUGUGCUCACCAAGGGCUAUAAAGAGCAAUAGACCCUUUGACAACAACGGGUUUAUUCACAAAACAAAUUGGACUUGCCAAUUUGAGUCGUGUCCUUAAGGCCCAUCAAAUAGAACGCUUUGGCGAAGGGUUGCCUUGUCGGGAGAAGGUGUAAAAAAAAGCACGAACUUUCUCAACUUCAUCUCCCUCCAAGAAUUUGUAAUCCUCUCAUAUAGGUUGAGAAGUUUGCUCAGAGUGUUCCAGAUAAUGAUAUACCUCAAAUGAUGAUAAGUAGUUCCCGCAAUGAAAGCUUGAAUGGCCCAUUCAUCAAUGGUUCCCCUUCAUGAUCAUGGUGGCUGUAUUGAAUCAACGGACGUAAUACAAAGGGACUCACCCACUCCCUAACGAAUGAUCAUUAAGUAGGCUAGGGAUUACUGGAGUGUUUUAUUGGACAAGAAAUGACUCAUGAGUUGUCCAACUAAUUGGUCAAAGGUAUAAAUAAACCAUCGUGAUAGUGGCAGGUAUCACUAUCGAGUUGUUUAAGAGAGGGUCAUAGAGAAUACCUUGCACUUAAUUCCAUCGGAGGCUAUUAAUAUAUUCAUGUGGUUGUAAUACCGAGCCAGAUGAUCUUCUGAAUCCCCCCGACCCGUUAUAUACAAAAUUUAAGAACUUGAAGAAGGUUGAAAUAUUGUUUGCUAGUACUUUUAGGACAAGUGACCCGUUGGAGAAGUUUCAAACAGAUUCAUCUAUUUUAACCCCCUUUCAUUUUCUUACAUCAUCUUAGCCUUGAAAAUCCUUAGUUGUUCUUCUUGAUAGUCAUUAUUGUUACUUUGAGAAUGUUAGAAUGCUACCAAGAAGCUACCAUCGUCUCUGUGAAGGUUGUUAAGGUCGUUAUAUUCACGAUUUCCUCAGAUGGUUGACUUGACCUUAUCUUUCUAGCAAACUGGAUUCUCUCUUCUAGGCCUUCCCACGUAGGUCUCAAUUCGACAAUCUACUACUUUUGUUGUUAUUUGAAGCAGUGUUCUUGUUUGGAAAAGUACUACUCUAGUCGUCGUAGCUUCUCUUAGGUUCUUAAAUCAUGAGACGAGAGCCUAAAUGCUUGUUGAUAAGAACAUUGGACUAACCAGGUGAAUGUUAUCUGUUCUAUAAGUCCAGUAAAAUAUGCAUUAGGUGAUGGUUGAUGCUUUGCGAUGGCUGAGGGAUUUGAAGCUGCUAGAGGGAUCGGGUUAACUGAUACAGUCGAGAUAGUUAGGUUGAAGCUCAAGAGUAUGUUUAAAGCUUUCAUGAACUACUCUAGAGUAGGGAGAAAGGCAUAUGCAUAUUGUAACGAUGGUCCUACAAGAGAGGAAGAAAAAGGGAUUUGAGUAAAACUCAAACUAGAGGAAGAUCAUGAGCUAUGUUUGAUGCAGGUGUUAGUUGGAGUGAUUAGUCAAGUUGGCCAAAUCAACUAUGGUUUGCAAAGUCUUGUUGUCCACAUUUAUCGCACCAAUUGUUGAUACAGUGAUACAAUAAGGUACAAAAGAGAAUGCAAUGAUGAUUAUAGAGGUCAGUUCAUCUAGCUGGGGCAAAAGGCCGAAGGCUACAAAGAGUAAAAGUAAAGAGGGUGUAAAAACUAAAUGUUGAAAAAAAGUUUAUAAGAGUGUAAGCUUGCAUGCUUGGAGAGUUGAUCGUUUGUUCAACAUUUGUGUAGGUAUUUAUAGGCAAUGAUCUCUUUUAACUACUAAAUUGACAAAAGUUAACAAUGUUGUAAAUAAAUUUCAAUAUUUACGUACAUGGUAAAUGAAACUAUAUUACACGAUCCCCCCCCCCCUCUUUUACUUGUUCUACCAGGGUUGAAAAAUGUAGUACAGUUAUUAGAUGUUCAUAUAUUUUUUUAUUAAUUUCAUAAUCAUAAAAUGACAUUAUCAUAGUAAAAAAAGUUCCGUUUACAACUUUCGUGACAGUUUCCUAGUUUUUCUUACUCCUAAGUUUUUACAUAUCAUUUGUAUAAGCUCUAAGCCUCUACCUAAAUUCUCACAGCAAGGUCCAACACCCAUGUUCCGUUAAAUCUUGCAAUUAAGUGAUUUCAGCCAUUCAAAUCUGACUGUCCAAUCACCACCCAACUUCUACUGCAAGCAACAACUUUCGUGCGACAAAACAAAAUGAACAUUAAAAGAAUUUUGCAGUGAAAGCUAACGGCAUAUUCAGACACGUUCAAUUCAGUUUCAGUAGAGGUCUUGGUAUGCUCAGCAGCAUCAGUUGAUUUUCACCAUCACCUAUAAUAGCUGAACCUACCGAUUAAGAAAUGAGAUUACCACAUCGAAUUCAGGGUUUAGUUUAUUUAUAUUUAAAUUCCAACACCUGUAAUCAGUUCUUGUGCGAACUAAUCCCUAUACCUAUAGGUUAAAUUAAAGAACAAAUUGAUCGUUUCCUGUAAAAAUUGUCAAUUUAUACAUUUAAAAACUAACGUUGACUAACCCUUGUAAAAAUUUCAUCAAUUCAUACAUUUAAAAACUAAUUGCUGACAAAAUAACCAAACAACUACAAGUGAUGUGCCAUGUGUACCUCAUUCUAACGUACAAUGACCAAUUUUUAACAAUAAAAAUUAAUAGUGCAAGGAUCUCCAUGGUACUUUUACCAUUCUUUUAUGGCCUAACUAUAACCUCCACUGAAAAAUAUUUAUGUAACAGUAGUAAAAACAGUAUGUGUUCAAAAUAAAGCAUUGAAUCAAACUACAGUAGUGCCAACAGUUACAUUGGUUCAAUAUUAUUCAAGCAAAAACAGAAAAUAAUAAAGACUAGGUUUAUUUUAGUUACUAGAAAGGAACCGGGUUAAGCUAUAGAUUGAAUAACACGGUAAUAGCAGCAAUAAGAGUUUAGAUUAAAUAGCUCCAUCAAAAUUGUUACAUACAAAACAUAUUAAAACGCAAUACAAAAUAAUGCAACAAAGACAUUAUGCACCUCAUCAUUUACGGCAUACGUAUGCAUUCUCUGCCUCAGCCACUUUGAAUCUGUCUUCCCCGAAACUUGGAAUAAAAAUGAAGAAUGAAUUUACAUAUAGCACUUUUUCCCAGGAAAAAGAAUAAAUACACCAGUGACAUUCAGAACCUGCCACCAAAUCAAUUGCUUGUAUAACAUUCUAACUAGUUAUGUUACUCUACCCAUUCAUUUUUCUUUAAGUACCUAUGUCUGAUGCAUAACCAGACAUGGGUACGAGGAUACGGCACUUGAAGAAAUUGAACAUAUCCAUGUCGGACAUAUACCCAAGUCUGAGUAACAUAGCUAGCAGUCUAACCAUAUUUCAAACGAACAUCCACAAUACUAUUACAGAGAUUAAGCAAUAACUUACUAGUGUGUUUCAAGCAACUCAAUGAAUUCCUUUAUUCCCUCAAGUCACAACCAACCAUUAUAAAAGAAUUAAGCUCUUACCUUAUAUUUGAGGUCUUUGUGCAAGACAAAAUCCAAGAACCUACAUAAUGUAGAAAGACACCAAUACAUAGUCCUUUCACAUGAUUAUAUUGUCCUUUAAUUAAGUAAUCCAUUGGUAGCAUAAACUAGCAUUUUUUUUUUACCCUAAAACAAUGCCAUGUCUCAGAAAACACUAUUGAGGAGUUGAACCCUAAAGGUUGAUGACUAGAUGCCAUAUUGUAUCCCCUCUAUCCAUCGAACACUGUUAGGCAUGGAUGGAAGAUAGAGAGAAUGAAAAAAGGAGAGGAAAAAGGGGGGAAGAAGGUUCUUUAUCCUUUCUGAUGUUUAGCAUAGAGCAUGGAAAAUAAACAUAACAGUCAAUUUAAAUAGAAAGAAUCCACUUAUUUAACUUGCUCAUAUUUUCCUCUUACCAAACGAAGGGAUGCAAAGAAAAGCUACAUUCUUCCACCUCUUUCCUUCCUUUUUCCCUCCUACGCAAACAUAGUUUAACAUGUUGUAGACUUCUUCUAUAAGUCUCAGGUGAUCAGUUAGGUGGAUACCAAUGGACUUCUUGAUUAAGGGUGUCAUUACAAAGACUCAAGGACCAUUUAAGCUGAUUUAGAUGCUAAUAAAAUAGAAAGAAAAUGUCUGUAUUCCAGAUUAUGUCUUCACAGCUACAUUUUAGGGUAAACCGGGUAAGCUGAGGAUAAAAUUCCAUCAUAAAUUGAGACAACCGAUGAAAUUAAGAAAAUGCAGAAGACAAAUGUCAGAUAAUAAACCCAGCACUCUCAGUACAGCUGACAGUGGAUGGAAGAAGGUACAAGGUUUAGAACCCCUAAACAAAUGCAAACUACAAAGAGAAAAAGACGCAAAAUAAGGAAAUAAAAGGCAGCAACAAGCAUGACGGCUAGCUAGGUUCUUGGGAGCACACAUAACAGAGCUUGGUGUUUUUGGUGGCAUGGAAAUGGCAAAUUUCAAAGAGAAAAAUAAAAUCUCCACGUAUAUUUGGUCCUUCUAGGUAGUAGCAUCAGGGUGGGCCAUGAGUAACCCUGGUUCAUCUGGUCUUCAGGUUUAAGCAGGCUUCAUCAAAGUAGGCAGUAGGCUAGAUUCAGGCUUCAUAAGUCUCAGCUGUUUUAGUGGGAUCGGAAAGGCAACAAAGGGAAAACAAGAGCAUCAGAUACGUAAAUAGGGAGAUCGGAUAGGCUAUGUUAUCAAACUGUAUACACGUAACAAAAUGAAUAGACAUAAGAAUACCAAAAUGAAAACUACAAUCUAUCUGCACGUACC